rnacentral:rRNA from 1 species
CCUACGGGAGGCAGCAGUGGGGAAUAUUGGACAAUGGGGGAAACCCUGAUCCAGCGACGCCGCGUGAGUGAAGAAGUAUUUCGGUACGUAAAGCUCUAUCAGCAGGAAAGAAAAUGACGGUACCUGACUAAGAAGCCCCGGCUAACUACGUGCCAGCAGCCGCGGUAAUACGUAGGGGGCAAGCGUUAUCCGGAUUUACUGGGUGUAAAGGGAGCGUAGACGGUGAUGCAAGUCAGAAGUGAAAGCCCGGGGCUCAACUCCGGGACUGCUUUUGAAACUGUGUGACUGGAGUGCAGGAGAGGUAAGCGGAAUUCCUGGUGUAGCGGUGAAAUGCGUAGAUAUCAGGAGGAACACCAGUGGCGAAGGCGGCUUACUGGACUGUAACUGACGUUGAGGCUCGAAAGCGUGGGGAGCAAACAGGAUUAGAUACCCGAGUAGUC